CAUCAUCAUCAUCAGCCGUAUGACGCCCACUGCUGGGCAUAGGCCUCCCCCAAGGAUCUCCACGACGAUCGGUCCUGCGCUGCCCGCAUCCAGCGGCUUCCCGCGACCUUCACCAGAUCGUCGGUCCACCUUGUAGCGGGCCUACCCACUGAGCGUCGUCCGACACGUGGUCGCCACUCCAGAACCUUUCCGCCCCAUCGGCCAUCGGUUCUCCUCGCUAUGUGUCCUGCCCACUGCCACUUCAGCUUUGCAAUUCUCCGAGCUAUGUCGGUGACUUUAGUUCUCCUGCGGAUCUCCUCAUUUCUGAUUCGAUCCAGCAGGGAAAUACCGAGCAUAGCUCUCUCCAUUGCCCGCUGAGCGACACCGAGCCUCCUCACGAGACCCAUAGUAAGCGGCCACGUCUCACUGCCGUAGGUCAUCACUGGCAACACGCACUGGUCAAAGACUUUCGUCUUGAGACACUGAGGUAUUUUGGACGAGAAGAUAUUCCGCAGCUUCCCGAACGCUGCCCAUCCGAGUUGGAUCCGACGAGAGAUCUCUUUCUCGAAGUUGGACUUACCUAACUGGAUU